CUUUGGAUUGUAUACAAAUUAAAGAGGAACUAUCACUUCCAUUUUCACUCACAAAACCGUGAGCUGUGGUGAACCAAAAAUAAAGUUGCAUACUUCCAGCUAAAAUGGGAGAUAUUAUUACAGCUGCAUUGUUGAUAUGUUUUUUUCUAACCAAUUAAUUUAGCCUAAAUUUUAAAAUCAUGUUUUCAAGCCACCUGUCUUUAGUCUUCUUUUGACAGCAACCCUUUCCUUGUUAUGUUUAUUUGAAC